UACGUAGGGACCGAGCGUUGUCCGGAAUCAUUGGGCGUAAAGAGCGUGUAGGCGGCUUGCUAAGUCUUGCGUGAAAUCUCGGGGCUCAACCCCGAGCGGUCGUGGGAAACUGGCAGGCUAGAGUGCGGGAGAGGAGAAUGGAAUUCCUGGUGUAGCGGUGAAAUGCGCAGAUAUCAGGAGGAACACCGGUGGCGAAGGCGGAUCUCUGGGCCUUACCUGACGCUGAGGCGCGAAAGCUAGGGGAGCGAACAGG
rnacentral:rRNA from 1 species